rnacentral:rRNA from 1 species
CUAGCCGUAAACGGUGUGCACUUGGUGUGGGAGGAUUUAUCCCCUUCCGUGCCGUAGCUAACGCGUUAAGUGCACCGCCUGGGGAGUACGGCCGCAAGGCUAAAACUCAAAGAAAUUGACGGGGGCCCGCACAAGCGGUGGAGCAUGUGGCUUAAUUCGAUGCAACGCGAAGAACCUUACCAAGGCUUGACAUGCAAUUGCACGUCUUGCGAAAGCAGGACUCCUUCGAGGGUAUUGCACAGGUGC